GCUCUGCGGGAUUUGUGUAUAGGAAGCACCUUUAUGGGGAAGGAUUCCAGGGGUUGCUUCUUCCACGGGCGGUGGCAGGAAUUUGUGGAGUGGGGCCUCGUGGCCAUUUGGUGGCUCCAAGGACACCGCAUGCGGGGCGUGGUGGCCACCAGACACCCGUGGUGCUGUCUAACCGUGGAGCCACGUGGGCAUUUGUGAGGAUCCUUGCCCUGAGCAGGCCCUGUGUAAUGACCUGGCUUUAUGACGGGCCAUUAAACAAAGGAUGACGGAAACGUUGCCAAGUAAGGCUCCAGCCAGGAUUCAGGCUGAAGGGAAGGCUUGCGUGUCUUCACUCAGUGGCAGAGCCGAGGGGCAUGGUAAGAACUUGGCAUCUGCUUGUCCGAGGCCCUUAGCAGCCGGAUUUGCCAGAGGUGGCAUCGUCCCCCGAGACCCCUCAGCAUUCCAGGUGCUAAGAACAGAGGGGACCCAUUUGGCAUUUGCCCUGAGGGUCCACACGGGCUGGGUAUCUGAGGCCCCUAGGCUGGGGACAGGAGCAAGGGAGGGGGGUACAGGAGAGAAUCCGGGUUCUGUUAAGAGUCCCUCCCACCAGCUGUGUUCCGAGGACAGGCAGGUGCUCUCUGGGAGCAGGGACCUUCUGGACCAAGGAACUCCCGCCCGGAGCUAAAAACGGGUUUUUCUGCAGAAAAGCCUUGUUAAAGCAGGAUCCCCCAGCAUCAGUCACGUGACACCCCCACACCAUCUGCCAAGUCCUUGUCCCACUUGCAGUAUUGUUUGCUUAAUGGUUUAUUAUUUUUUUUCUUUACGUGUCCUUUAAAAGAAAGCUUUAUAUCCCUGUCAUGAGUGAAACUCAGUAUGAUCUGCCGUAGGUGGAGUGGAACACUUUAAAAUAAACACCUGACGCGUAGAACGUGUGUGCCGGUGGACCCCGUGAUGCCAUCGCAUGGACUUCUGUUGUGCUUGGGGAGAUUCUAGCUGUUGCUCUUCCAGGAGGCUCCCCAUGUGCCGGUCAGUCCUGCCUUUCUUGACUGCAGCUCCUGCCCCCACCGCCCUGCCCUUUUUUCAAGGAAUCGGCAAAGAUGGUCCUACAGGGGUCAGAACGGGCCAGCUCCUUGCUACCCAGAUGAUGGUCAACACCACUGGCUAGUGUCCUUCCUGUAUAAAUCCUUUAGGGAUGAAUAAGGUAAAGAUAAGAACAUUCAUUUUUCUAAAAAAAAAAAAAAUACAGGCCACUCAGAAAGGAAGAAACAGGAGGACAUAAGCAUGUAAACAGGCCAGUUAAUCAAUGAAACAACAAAAUACUUUUUUGUUUUGCCUGCCGGAUUCGCAGCUCAGUGGGCAGCGUGUUUCUGUGGUGCACCGCCCAGGACCCUGAAAAUCCUCGUGAACUUGUUCGGGGUCUGUCGGGCAGAACGGGCCCUGAGACUCAAAAUGUGCCCGAGUAAUUCUCCUUCUAGGAAUUUAGUCCAGAGGCAGGGAAAGGCAUAUGGCCACGGGUGUCCAUCGUAACACGGAGAUGGAGACAACCUAGAUACCCAGCAGCGUGAAAUUGGGGAAGUAAAUUACAGGGUGUGGUGCCGCCCACACAACCGUGUACUGUGCAGUCACUCGACAGAAAUGUAUGGGGAGGCGUCAGUGUGCCAGGCACAAUUCUGGGCUCUGGGGACACUUGAGUGAGCAGUAGAGACAAGACUCCAGCCUAAUGGAAGUGAGAAAGGUUGGGUGGAUGGAUGGAUGCCUGGAUGGAUGGAUGGAUGGGAGUCGUACGGUGAGGGCAACGGGCGAGGGAGUCCUUCAUCCAGGGAACUGGGGACAGGCGUCCCUGAGAAGGGGACAUGGGGACAGUCCUCAAGGGGAGAGCAAGCCGUGGAUCUCUGGGACAGACAUUCCAGGCAGAGAGAAUGAGGCUCCUCUGAUGGCCCUGCGCUGGGAGCUUGCCUGGCGGCCCCAAGAGCAACAGUGGGGAGGCGAACGGAGAAGAUGAGAGGAGACGGGGAAAUGAGAGGGAGCGGGCUGCUCCCAGCAAGUCAGGACUCUGUGGUCCUCCUUAGAUUAUCAUCAAGGGAGCCCCCCACAGGGGAUGAGGUCAGAAGCUGGGAGAUCGGCUCCAUCCCUGUCACCAUCACCCUGCGAGAGAAGAAGGUGGCCUGCACCAGCGUCAGCGGCGAGCAGUGGUCAGAUUCUGGACAGAGUGACCCCGAAAAAUAAGUACAGUACAGAUACGUAUCUAUGAGCAAGGGAACAUGGUGUCGCUUUCGCAAGACCCUUCCCUGACAUGUCUCCCAGGGCUGGCGGCAGGGCGGGCACCUUUUGAGCUCAGUUGGGCCCCACGCAUUGGUGUGAAGCAGGAUGAGCGUCCGGGGCAACCCCAUUCAUGAGAGCCGCAGUCUGGAAACCUCCAGGAUGUUCAGCAGCAGCAUGAGCGGAGCAGGUUGGACACUACCGACAAGAAGAAGGAGCAGUGACAGCCACCUGCCACUGGGGCGGGUCUCGCAGGCGUCAAGGGCAGCGGCAGGAGAAACUGCACAGAGAAGCCUUGACAUAAAGAUCCUGGGGAGGCAGGAGUCCAGAGUAGUGUUGAAGUCAGGUGCCCGAGGGAGGGAGGGAGGCUGGGCUGGGCAGGGCCCCCGCGUGCUGGGUCCCUGUGCUGGGCCCCUGCGAUCGCAGCCCUCUUCCGUGUGCACGUCAGACUUCAGUCAAAAAGUGGCUUCAAGGAAGGUUUCGUUAUUUUAAUAUACAGCUCAUUAUUAUUUUUAGAAAUCUGUGUUUAUGCCUCUAAAAAAAAAAAAUGCCUGGAAGGAUGUUCAAUGACAUACUUGACUAGAGGUUCUCUCUGGGGGAUAAGAUGAUGGGUGAGGGUUUUUUUUCCCCCUUUGUGCAGAGAGUUUCUAAAAUCUUCUCUAUAUAUUUGUGAUUUGCAUUUAUUAGCAGUCGGAUGCGGCAAGGGCUUUCUCCCGUCGCGGAUACCAAAGAACUCGGAAAUCCAGCCUAAUCAAGCAUGUCUAGAAUAAAGAGGAAUAUUUGUUAAUUGAA